AACAGAAAGUUAAGUUGUUCUUUUGUACAGAAUCCAUUUUGAGACGACAGAGCAGAAGACGCUAUAUGGAGAUUACUGACAAAUAAGAUCCAUUUUGAGACGACAGAGCAGAAGACGCUAUAUGGAGAUUACUGACAAAUAAGGGUCAGUUCUCUAAAAUGAGUCUCUCUGGGGAGAGAGAGGAGGGGGGCCCUGCCUCUAAAAUGAGUCUCUCUGGCGAGAGGAAGGAGGGGGGCCCUGCCUCUAAAAUGAGUCUCUCUGGGGAGAGAGAGGAGGGGGGCCCUGCCUCUAAAAUGAGUCUCUCUGGCGAGAGAGAGAAGGGGGGCCCUGCCUCCAAAAUGCAUCUCUCUGGCGGACAUAACACCAAAGCUAAGAGACCAAUCAAGCAGGAGAGACCAGCCUCCCCUGUUCCCAGCUGUGUGUCCAUGAAGAGUGACAAGUCUAUGAAUCAUCCUAUACACUUUAGAGAGGGAGACUUUUCUACUGAACAAAGAAACCAACAGGAGAGAUCAGAGUCAGAGAUUCUCAGUGGUCAGUCUUCCCAGAGUCAUCAAACAGACCUGGACUCUAUAUUCAGUGUAUGUGAUCCUGUUAUGUACAUUUGUUUUUGUUUUCCUCAAGUAAUGUUUCUUUCAAUUAUUAAUUCAUGUGUUAAUGAGAAAGCAUUUCUUCUCUUGCUUAACUUAUUUACUUGAUUUAUUUCAGUUGCUUGAAGAGAAAAUUAUAACAUUUGUGAAGAACGAGCUGAAGAUGUUCAAGAGGAUUCUUGG